UACGUAGGGUGCAAGCGUUGUCCGGAAUUAUUGGGCGUAAAGAGCUCGUAGGCGGUUUGUCGCGUCUGCUGUGAAAACUCGGGGCUUAACCCCGGGCCUGCAGUGGGUACGGGCAGACUAGAGUGCGGUAGGGGAGAUUAGAAUUCCUGGUGUAGCGGUGGAAUGCGCAGAUAUCAGGAGGAACACCAAUGGCGAAGGCAGAUCUCUGGGCCGUAACUGACGCUGAGGAGCGAAAGCAUGGGGAGCGAACAGG
rnacentral:rRNA from 1 species